rnacentral:tRNA from 1 species
UCACUGGUGGUCCAGUGGCUAAGACUCUACAUUCACAAUACAGGGGGCCAGGUUCAAUCCCUGGUCAGGGAA